rnacentral:rRNA from 1 species
UGGGGAAUAUUGGACAAUGGGCGAAAGCCUGAUCCAGCAAUGCCGCGUGAGUGAUGAAGGCCUUAGGGUUGUAAAGCUCUUUUACCCGGGAUGAUAAUGACAGUACCGGGAGAAUAAGCCCCGGCUAACUCCGUGCCAGCAGCCGCGGUAAUACGGAGGGGGCUAGCGUUGUUCGGAAUUACUGGGCGUAAAGCGCGCGUAGGCGGCUUUGUAAGUUAGAGGUGAAAGCCCGGAGCUCAACUCCGGAACUGCCUUUAAGACUGCAUCGCUAGAAUCAUGGAGAGGUGAGUGGAAUUCCGAGUGUAGAGGUGAAAUUCGUAGAUAUUCGGAAGAACACCAGUGGCGAAGGCGACUCACUGGACAUGUAUUGACGCUGAGGUGCGAAAGCGUGGGAGCAACAGGAUUAGAUACCCUGGUAGUCCACGCCGUAAACGAUGAUAACUAGCUGUCGGGGCUCUUGGAGUUUCGGUGGCGCAGCUAACGCAUUAAGUUACG